CUUUAAUGUCCAUCACUCCAAAUCUUUGUUGUGACGAGACAAAGAACCGAGGAACAUACACUCAGGUGACAUCUAUGGUGCCAUGACUCGGAUUUAACCUGGCUGAAACAACCUCUACGAGGAAGAAGCCAAGCACAACAGGAGCCCAGUUCAGCGAAGCUCCCGUGGUAGAAGCGGAAGGCGAAGAAACCCAGAGCAGAGGAAGGCCCAUCGUGCUGGAAACCAGGACAGCGAAAAACGAACUCAGUAGAAAGCUCACGCGGCCCAGUCUCAGAUUCCAGAAGACCUCCGGUUAAGAGCACAAGCUUUAGAGCACAGGCUCAGUACUUGUGUUGCACAGGCUUGUUGUUCCGAGACACGUGGUAUCCUUGCAGACCAGGGAUCAAACCUGUGUCCAAUGCAUUGGCAGGUGGAUUUUUACCACUGUACUACCAGGUAAGUGCUACUAAGUGUCUUUCAACUGAGGAAAUCCCAGUAUCUUUCAACCAGGAUCCUCAUGUAUCUUUUAACUGAGGGGCUAUGUAUGUUAAUACAUUGCCACAUAAAAUUUGGUGUCCUCAACCAAUAACGGGGUGAUCUAAAAACCAGGAGACAAUUCUCCAAACUUAUCUGGACCUGCUGAGGAGGAUGGGCCCAAGCGGCCCUUCCAAGCCAGAAGGUCCAAAGCACAGAAUGGCGCCUGCUUUUCAAUCCUGCGUUCCCGUCAGGGUGCACUGUCGCUGGGCCACUGCAGUGACUACUAAACUUGAUCCUUG